rnacentral:rRNA from 1 species
AGAGUUUGAUCCUGGCUCAGGACGAACGCUGGCGGCGUGCCUAACACAUGCAAGUGGAGCGACGAACCAGGGCUUGCCCUGGGGCAAAGCCGCGAACGGGUGAGUAACACGUGGGCAACCUGCCCCGAUGAUUGGGACAACUCGAGGAAACUCGAGCUAAUACCAAAUGUGCCCUCGGAUCAUAAGAUCUGAGUGUAAAGGUAGCUUCGGCUUCCGCAUCGGGAUGGGCCCGCGGCCCAUUAGCUUGUUGGUGAGGUAAUGGCUCACCAAGGCGACGAUGGGUAGCUGGUCUGAGAGGACGAUCAGCCACACUGGGACUGAGACACGGCCCAGACUCCUACGGGAGGCAGCAGUGGGGAAUCUUGCGCAAUGCGCGAAAGCGUGACGCAGCAACGCCGCGUGAGGGAAGACGGCCUUCGGGUUGUAAACCUCUUUCAGUUGGGACGAAGCUUCCACGGUUAAUAGCCGUGUGGAGUGACGGUACCUUUAGAAGAAGCCCCGGCUAACUACGUGCCAGCAGCCGCGGUAAUACGUAGGGGGCAAGCGUUGUCCGGAAUUAUUGGGCGUAAAGAGCGUGUAGGCGGUUCAAUAAGUCUGCUGUGAAAGCCCAGGGCUCAACCCUGGAAUGCCGGUGGAUACUGUUGGACUAGAGUCCGGAAGAGGCGAGUGGAAUUCCUGGUGUAGCGGUGAAAUGCGCAGAUAUCAGGAGGAACACCAAUAGCGAAGGCAGCUCGCUGGGACGGUACUGACGCUGAGACGCGAAAGCGUGGGGACAACAGGAUUAGAUACCCUAGUAGUCC